rnacentral:tRNA from 1 species
AAAGUAUGAGAAACAAGGAAAAGCUUCUAACUUAUUCCUUAAGCGGCGCACCACCGUUUAUACUUUU